GGAGAAGUGGCGGAAUUGGUAGACGCGCUACUUUGAGGGGGUAGUGACCGUUGGGUCGUGUGAGUUCGAGUCUCAUCUUCUUCACCA
rnacentral:tRNA from 1 species